UGCCCCAUGGCUGAGUUGGUUACAGCGUCCGACUGUUACUUAAAGCACAUCGGAAGGUCGUGAGUUCGAGCCUCACUGGGGCAG